CUGGGAGGCGGAAUGUCCCGGGGGUUUUCCGGGAGGAAGCUACCGACUUGUUAAAGCUUCUGCUAGGGGGCUGAAACAGCCAUAACACAAAUUGCUACAGGAUGAGUGCGAAGACGCUACAGAGGUCUGUAGAGCGCCCUCUACUGGAAAGCCCACAGGUGUUGCAUACAGCCUACACGACAACCUCAAUAGAAGAACUACAAAUCCCUUGCUGGAAGUGUAUGGACUUUAUCCAUCCUACUUCUACUUCCAUGGGUAGAGAGUUCUUCUCUGGUGUAACAAGUGAGUAAGAGACCAGCGCAUCAGUGCAUGUGAAUGGUGGUAACAUAAGACAUGAAAUGAGGACAACAGAGGAGAGCCAGGGUGUGCAAAUAUAAGCCCUCUGUUCACCUAUCAUGGUUGGGAAUCUCUUCCUCGAGCUCCCAUAAAAUAAGAGCUUAAACCUACACAACCACUAUCUGGACAAUAUGUGAUUGUGGGACCAAUAAAGAUUGUUCAUUUACUGUUA